rnacentral:lncRNA from 10 species
GUUUCUUCGGGCAGGGUUCAGCAGCUUCUGUCACCAGUUAGGUUUCGUGAGCUUCCUUCCCGUGUAGUCUUGAUUUCAUCACUUGACUCACUUCAGCGCAGCUAGUGGUUUCCGUUUCUGUACGCGGGCGCUCUGGUAGGGGCGCCUCACGUCCAAAGGAGGAGUCUUCUUCCAAAGAAGAGCCUUUGGUAUUUGGCAGAGCCUCGCCAAUUUGGGGCGCACCUCCCCUUCCUGGGAUGCUCUCAGAAGGCAAACCAAUUCCCAGAAGAGAGGGAAAAACAGCCACAACAGAGAGAACCUUUGCUGUCCCUGUUUGGAAAGAGAUUGGGAUUUCCUGGAGAGGGCUUGCUUCUACUGCAGGUUUGUUUAAAAGCUCAACAUCUAUUCUGGAAGAGAACAACGCAGACUCCAGGAAGAUGGUGGGUUUUGCUGUUUUUAAGACAAAAAAAAAUUGUUAAACAGUAUUUGUUCCAUUUAUGACACAACUUUCUGUUUCAGCCUUCCUUCUGCUGCUGCAACAAACAUUGACACACCCAAAACCAGGACUUAAAAUGGCCUUUAUACCUUUCUAUGAACUCAUUUCUUUGGCCCUAUCCCAAAGAUAUCUAGGGAUAUAAAUAGAAAACUAGCUAAAAACUUUUUGGUGUCGUGUUUAAUCACAUGGUGGUAGGUUUUACUAUGAAGUUUAGUUGUGGCCUUCCUCCUACAUUUUGACAUGCUCUUAUGGUGCUUAUUCACUGUUUUAUUAGUGCUAUGCGUGACCUAAAAAUAAGGUUUAAAAUACAGUUUAGUAUAGUAUCAACAAGUGUAUCUUUAGUAUUUGACUACUCUAAGACAUUGGUUUUAGCAUCCAUAGUGCUAUUUUAUACUAGGACAUCUAUGAGUUAGGGUUUAAGACUUUAGUAAACUAGGUAGUUCUUUGCUUGUUUUACAUGUCAUGGUUAUUUUGCGAGCACCAAGGAACCUCCAUGUAUUUGCAACAUUUUAAUAUCAGUACCUACAAGCAAUUGCCAAGCUCCCUUUCCCUCCAAAAACAAACAAACAAAAAAAUAGUUCAGGAGAUACUUGUGUGUAUUGAUAUACUAACUUGGCAGUGUUUUUCCUUAGGUCCAGGUCCAGAACUGAAAAUACUAACUACUGAAAUUCUCUUCUCCUUCUCCUUCUUCUUCGUUGUGCCACUUUGUCGUUUACCCCUAACCAGAGGUUAAUGUUAGUCUUUGGAAAAUUUGUAAGGUAUCCUAAAUGUAUAACCAAGAAACCUGUACCCUUUUGCACGCACCACCCAUCUCUGAAUGAAGAGCCAAAGAUUGUCAGAGUUUUGAUGUCCCACCAGGCGAAGAGCAACACUUUUCACUGACAAUCAGGACAGAGCAGAUGGAUAUAGAAUAACAAUCUGGAAUCCAAGGACUGAGAUGCAUUGACAGCAAGACUAGUAACGUCAAAUAACAACUGAAAAGAGAAGCUAGGGUAGACCUAUUAAAAGAGAGAGCCAGCAAACAGGACCAAAAUGCUGGAUGAGGAGUCUAAAAAGAACAGAAGAAACAAAAAAGAUCAGGAGUUACUAAAAUUUGACUGUCAGUUUUACAAUGGAGACAGACAAUUUAAAGAAGGAAGCAGUUUUUCUGAGUGUGGCAUUACUUGUGCACGUUGAGUGUCAUAUAUAUAGAGAGAGAGAAAGAGAGAGAGUGAGAGAGAGUGAGAGAGAGAGAGAGAGAGAUAUCUUGGGGAUGAGACCUGUCUAAACACAAAAUUCAUUUAUGUUUCAUAUACACCUUAUACACAUAGCCUUAAGGUAAUUUUAUAAAACAUUGUAAAUAAUUUUAUGCAUGAAACAAAGUUUGUGUAAAGUACUUAUGUGUGGAAUUUUCAACUUGUGGUGUCAUGUUGGUGCUCAAAAAGUUUUGAAUUUUGGAACAUUUCAGAUUUUGGAUCUGUGGAUUAGGGAUGCUCCACCUGUACUAUUUUACACAACGUUGCUUGUACUAUUUCAAAGCAUUCUGAAAGCAAAGUCUUAAUAUUAAUAAAAAAUUUUCUAUGUGACAAUAAAAUUAAAAUGCUGCAGGCCCAAGAAAAAAAUAUUAUCAUAUUGAAAUAUUUAAUGCCCCAAAUCUAAUCAGAUGCAGGUUUUUGAAAGUACCAUCCUAUUCAAAAUUAUGAAAUAAAGAAUUUGUUUCAUAAAGAGAAAUUAGCAUUUCAUCAUAAAUAAAAUCCAGGAACCUUAGUGUAGACAUGCUUCAGAAAUAAGCUAAUUUUAAUAGUAUAUGUUUGACAUAUAAUGACAGUUAAGAUAGAAAACUGGGCAGAUUUUACACAGGAAGGAAACAAACAUUCUCUCUCUCUCUCUCUCACACACACACACGUACUUAUUACACACACACACACACACACACACACACACACACGACUAGCCACAAAAUGCUCAUUUGCAUGGAUUUGAAACAAUACUCACUCCUUAAUACUUUCUGUUAACAUUUAAAUUAAUGCCAAGACCAGCACCUGGCACUUAGUAGGUACUUAAUAAAUAUGUGUUAAAUGAAUAAAUUGACCCAUCAAGUACCAUAAAAAAAAUGCCUAGUGUCUUGAGCAAUUUACAGGUCUAAAGAAUGGUUUUACCCAACAGUAAUGACAAAUAAUCCAAGGCAGAUAAGAACACUAGACUGGUAAUCUGAAUUGCAAAGUUCUAAGAACAAUAGCUACCAGCUUUCACAUACCUACAUUUCAAAAGACACUACGCAAAACAACUUACACUCCUACAAAUUACUUUACAUCUGGCUUAAAUAUUCUCUUCCACAAAACAAAAUAGUGGUACAAGAUGAUCUACAGGCUUCUUUACAUUCUGAUUCAUAUAAACUCUAUGCCAAGAGAAUUGGGCAAAUAAAUAAAUAAAUAAAUGAAACCUUCUGGAUAUAGCAAUAAUAAUUAAUGGGACAGCAAAGAUGAAGAAACUGAAAUUAUUUAGCUGAGAUCGAAAUUUUAAUUCAUAAAAAAUAGUUGUAAUAUAUAAUGUAACAAGUAAAUGUGUAAAGUUACUAAGCCUAACUUUAAACUAUUUUAGUUUGUUAAUUGUUUAAUUGUUGGUUACACAACUUUGCUUUGAAACAUACUCUAGAAACAGUUUUGCCUCAUGAGGGAACUAGAGCUUUUAGUGAGGAUCUCAAAGUCAGACUGAGAGAUUUGGCUCAAAGACUGAACAGACUGGAAUAAUUUCUUCUCAAAGCAGUAAAAGUGUUGAAAUGCUAUUGAUUCAAGCAGAGAAUAGAGGUGGUAUCACAGUGAAGAGCCACAAACACGUGGGUAUUUUUUAAAUAAUGAUCCAACAUAAUUCUACAUUGUGUUUAAAAUAUAGCAAGUUAAAACAGGGAAAAUAUAAAUAGGUUAUUUUAGUAUGAACUUUUUUGGACAUUGUUUUAUAUGAUUCUUCCCCCUGUAGAAUCUCAGAACAAUCAUCUCAGAUUUUCAAAGUGGUUCACAUACUAUGAGGGGUUGACUUAGAUUACAACAAAACUAUGUCUUGCUAAUCUUGUAUUCUUAGUACUUGGCACAUAGUAGGCACUCAAUAAAUAUUUGAUGAAAUGUAUUGAAUAGAGUGCAUUGUUUCAAGCUUUUAAGCAUUAGCAUAAGAGCAAAAAGAAAUGUCAUGCUGAGUCAGAAUAAUAUUCAAUCUAACUGGCUCUAAAUUCUGACAGUGGCACCAAAGAAUAUUUUGUGGAAAACUAUGGUGAUAGUCUUGCAUGAUGUUGACCUCAGUGAUGUACUCGAGUAUCCCUCACUCACUCUUUUCCUAAAUUGAUUUCUCUUUUUCUGUAACAUGUUUCUUUAAAUUGAAAAGAAAUUAAUAUUCAUUACAGAGAAAUCAGAAAAUACACAUAACUGCAAAGAAACUAGCUUUGAAAUACUCAGAAUUCCUUAUACCAAGAUGAAUCAGUGCUAUCAGACCCUUUCUAUCAUGUAUCUUUGCAGAUUUUUUUUAUUGAAAAAGUUGGCAGGAGGCACGGCAUGGAAUGGGGAACAUAGAGGGAUACAGAGACAGGUUUGUAAAAUAAAAACUAGAUCAUUCUGGGGACUUGUUUUGUAGCCAGAGUUUUCUACUUGACAUAUAAUUAAAUGUCAAUAAAUUUAUUUUACAGUAUUAUUUUAAUGGCUGCCUGAUAUCCCUUUGUAAGGAUUUAAUCUGUCAAUUACUGUUGGACAAUGAAGAUUGCUCCCAAAUUUUGCUAUUGCAACCAGUGCUAUAAUGAUCAUACUCUUCAUCUGUUGAAACAUUUAUUACGAUUUUCUUCUAAUUGACUUUUAUUUUGUUUUUGUUUUAUAUAGAGAUGGGGGUUUCACUAUGUUGCCUAGGCUGCAAUUGAACUCCUGAACUCAAGCAAUCCUCCUGUCUCGGCCUCCCAAAGUGCUGGGAUUACACGCAUGAGCCACCAGGCCAGGGAUAUUUUUGUCUUUUGAGACAGGGUCUUGUUCUGUUGUCCAGGCUGGAUCACAGUGGUGCAAUCAUGGCUCACUGCAGCCUCAACCUCCCAGGCUCAAGUGAUCCUUCCACCUCAGCCUCCUGAAUAUCUCGGACUACAGGCAUGUUUCAUCAUGUCUGGCUUUUAUUUUAUUUUAUUUUAUUUUUUGGAGAGAUGAGGUCUUACUAUGUUGCCUAGGCUGUUCUCGAACUCCUAGACUCAAGCAAUCCUCCUUCUUCAGCCUACUGUAGUGCUGGGCUUAUAGGCAGGAACCACCAUGCCCAGCCCUGACUUUUAUUAAGCCACAUUGUGUCAAUUAUCCAGAUCCUAAACUAUGACAAUGUCAUUAGAGGCAUCAUAUCACAAAAACAAGAGGUAGAAUACCUAUUAACAAUUUACAAUUUUCUAUUGGUAAGAAAAAUAAUAAGAAUAUUAAUUCUAGCUACCAGACCUUCAUACAAAGAACGUUCUAUUCAAUGAACACCUUAUAAUUUUAGAAAUAUGGAAAUAGAAUACGUCACUUAUUUUAAAAAAAAACUCAGAUCUCUUAUUUUCCUCUGAUCAUACCACAGUCAGUUUCCCACCUGUGAAAGUCUUUGUAUCUUCUAAUAUGAUUUUCUUCCCCCUCUCCAAAUCCCCUCCAGCCCAACUGAAGACCCUAGUCUCCCAUGGAGUCUUGAUAUGGUUUGGCGGUGUCCCCACCCAAAUCUCACCUUGAAUUAUAAUAAUCCCCACAUGUCAAGGAUUGGACCAGGUGGAGAUAAUUGAAUCAUGGUGGUGGUUUUCCUCAUACUGCUCUUGUGGUAGUGAAUACGUCUCAUGAGAUCUGAUGGUUUUAUAAAUUGGAGUUCCCCUACACAAGUUCUUCUUACCUGCCACCAUGUAAGACGUGACUUUGCUCCUCAUUCGCCUUCUGCUAUAAUUGUGAGGCCUCCCCAGCCAUGUGGAACUGUGAGUCAAUUAAACCUUUUUCCUUUAUAAGUUACCCAGUCUUGGGUAUGUCUUUAUUAGCAGCAUAAGAACAAGACUAAUACAAGCCUCCUGGAUCAGUUCAAAUCACCUUGAUAUUUCUUAAUUCCAAUGCAUUGGCAUAAAGUAAAUUUCCUUCCUCCCUUGGCCCUCACCUCUCUCUUGACUCCAAUAAGGGAGAGUUGUGGAGAGAUGGUACCUGGGUUUGAUAUAAUUUGUUGCCAGAUAAGUUAUAAUAAUUUGUUAAGGAAUUCAAGCCGUAGAGGAUGAGGAUGCUCUUUUAGCAUAUUAGGUUUGAGGUAACAGGCCAAAAGGAAUAGCAUUUGGUUAUUAAGGUAAAAAGAGAAAUAAUUUUUAUGCAUGUUAGAAGGGGAAUUUUGAAGGAAAUUACACUUUUUCUGUAUAUUUAUAUAUUUUACUUUUUAUUUACCAGGAGAAAAGGCAUUUGCUGCCCAAGGUAGAAUCCCAUCACCAUACUCCUUUCCUACAUCCAAUCACAAAAUCAGAAUAUGCCAAUUCUCUAUUCCCAAGUAAGUCAACAGACCCUAAGAUUACAUUCCCUUUCUCCCCUCUGCAAAGCUUCAGGGACAGGAGUCCCUGACAGGCAGCUGACAUUUGGGGUUGCAUACAAAAAGUCAAGUCAUUGCAAGAGAAGGAAGUUUGUUUCUAUUGGAAGAGUUAGUGUACAACAUAUAAAAACGGAGUGAGGAUGGGGAUAUUGUAGUAGGGAGGGGGUUAAAGGGCUUAGAAAAUGAUUUUUUUAAAGGUGGACAGGGGAAGAGUAGAAGGCAAAAAAAUGUCAUCCAUGUGGGACAUCUUCUGAACGCCCAAGGAGAAUCUUUGGGGAUACAUUCCCCCCAAGAUUUAAAGAAGUGGCUUCACUCCUGAGAAUGUACAGGGAGCGGAGAAGCUAAACCAGGAGCAACAUCCAAUUUCUUUGUCUCUCCUUCUCUUCUCACUGCAAACUCUGUACAGGUUUGGCAUAACUAUCUAAACUUUCUAGUAAAAAUCAUAGCCUUCAUGAAGAUCCAUUGUGUAUUUGAUUCACAGAAAGUUGGUAUUGAAUUGUAAAACACGGCUACAAAUUUCUCCCUCUCCAACAGGCGUGUCAUUUUGGAAUGUGUCUUGCUGCUCUUCUCAUCAAAGGUAAAGUCCUCUUCUUCACCUUUUAACCUAGAGUAGCUGUGCAACUUUCUUUGACCAAUCAAAUAUGGUGGAAGUGAUGUUGCGUGACUUCCAGAUAUAAGUCUUAAAGAGAUUUUUCACUUUCUGCUUUCACUCUCUUGGAAUGUUGCCCUGAGAUCACCACACCAUGAAGAAGUCUGGGGCGAAAGGCCAUGUGGAGUGAGAGGCUCAGCUUCCCAGAUGAUCUCACUGAGCACAGCCCCCAGCCACCUGCCAGCUCAAUGCAACCUGGUGAUGGACCCAAGCAAAUACCAGCAGAAGAAUCACCUGGUCAACCCACAGAAUCAUGAGAAAUACUAAUUUGUUGUUGUCUUAAGCCAGUAAGUUUUGAGAGAGUGUUUUAACUGUUUCACCUAAGUUUGGUCUCUUAACAUGAACAUAAGCACUUUUUUGCAUUUGUACAUCCUUUGUACUCUUCCUGUUCAUACCGAGAAAGCUUUUGCAAUGCAAAAGCUCAAAUGUAUUGGAAUUUUAGAAGUUUAAGCCUUGAAGGACUCUGUACAAAACCAUGCCAAAAACCAUAUAUUUUGAAGAAUAUGUUCUCAGUCUGAGCCAGUUUUCUAUUUCCACCUCAAAUCUUGAUUGGUGCAGACUGGAGAAAGGAGAAGAGAGUCAGGGGUAAGACCGUGGGUCGGAGGUGGAUAUCGACAAUGUACCUGAGUAAAAGCCCUGUAGCCUCUCACCAUGUUGGAAUACCAUAUGGCACAACUACAUGGACCGCCAUUUACAUAGAGUAGGAUGUUUAGUACUGCGUCUUGACCUUUGAAACCAGACUGGUGAGAGGACUCACCAACAAAAGUGAAGCUAGGGUCAUAGGCCCUACCUUGGAGAUUGGUAAGACCCCAGAGUUAUUCCUUGCCCAAUGUUAAGUAAGAACAGAAAACAUUUCUAAAGAGGGUCCUGAGGCAGACAGGUCUUAAGCAGUCCCACAGCCCUCAUGUGCCCUAGAAAGAUGCAGAGCGCCCAGAAGCGGUUUUUCAGUGCAGGUGAGAAUGGUUUAGAUCCACAUGUUUUUGUAAAUUAGUUUUUAUUGGAAGAGAGGCAAACCCAUACAUUUACCUGUUGUCUAUGGCUGCUUUGACACUACAAUAGCAGAGUUGGGUAGUUGUGACAGAGAUCAUAUGGUACACAAAGCCUAAAACAUUUACUAUCUGGUCCUUUAUUUUUAAAAAGUCCUUAUAUUAGAUGAAACACAAAGAACUGGUAAAACUUAAGCCUUGUGUAAUAAUACAAAACAAAAAUAUACCAUGUAGACCAUAAUCAAAGGGCCCAUUGUCUUCAGCCGCUGACAUUGGGACCAGGGUGUAGUGUCAGAACAUGAAAGCCUGGAUACCUACAAUGGCCUAAUUUUCUCAUACAAAUGCAUCCUACCACUCCCAUCCCAUACCUUAUGCUAGAUAGGAUCCAUGGAAUUAGCUGCAUCUCCAGUGAAACAGGAAAAGUCCCUGAUUUUACUGAGAUUUAGCUAUUGUCACAUGGUGUAACAGGGAUUUAAGAGAAAAAAUAACCUCAGGUAUAGACAUAGGAAAAUAAUGUUAGAUUAAGUUUCUUAUACACCUGGUUCUGUCUUCAGAAACUGGCACCCACUAUAAAGCCUUCCAUAGUGAUAAUUAUCGCACAAAAUCGAUACAAAGGAAAUACCUGCUGAAUGUUCUGCCUCAGUAGGUUUUCCUUUGGUCUUUUACCUUAGAAAACUGCAUGAUAGCAUUUUUCUAUUAUUUUGACAUUUCAUGUAGGAAGCAUGUUAUUCACAACUUAUGUUUUAUAAAAUCUUUUUCUGAUGAUGAUGAUGAUGACACUUGUUAAUUUCCAUCUCCUUCCUUCACUGUAAGUUUUUCUAUUCCCUGAGACAACUAUUUCUCUCACUUGUCCUAAACCCCAAGGAUACAAGAGAUGCAUAGGAAAAUAUCUAUGAAGUGUGUGGGAGGAGACAACAGGGCAGGGUUCCAGAGGUCUGUGGUUUAUUGCACGUAAAACACUGGAAAGUGCUUUGGAUGAUAAGGAAGUAGCUUGUUGUCCUUUGCAAUGGCCUGACAUUCUUACACUGAGAAAAUCUUACUCCCCACUUUGAGCUGGGAUGUGGGAGCUGGGAGGACAUUUACUGAGUAUUAACUCUGUGCCAGGAAUUAUUCCUACAUUAUCUCAUUUAGUCUCCGGAAAACCCUACGUAACAGGUGAGAAGACCUCAGUGACAAGCUCAAAGAUGCAUAGCUAAAGAGCUGAAAUGUAAAAGCAGGUCUGCCAGACUCAAAAACCCAUGCUCUAUAAACUACAUCAUAGAAGUUGUAAAAUAAUUUUACCUUGAAUCCAAGGGUGAAUAAUUUGUCAUGGUUAGCUUGCCCUUUGGCAUUCAUAAACAAUUUCUACUGUCCCAGUUUUUGUUCCAUUCAUAUAGGAGUAACAUGUGGAAGUAUUAAGCAAUAGAAGGCUUUGUUUUCAUGUAUAAAUUUUUACGAUAUUUUCAAAUAUAAUAAAGCCAAAAUUGUUAAUUUCACUUCAUGUAGAGAUUCCUUCAAAUAUAAGAUGCUAUGAAACAGUGUCAUACCAAAAAGCAAACACACUGAUUUCUAUAAUCAAAACAUUGAGGAACACAGGAAACUCUAGAUAACUCAGAGGAAAAAGGGAGUACAAAAUCGGGUUGACACAAUGCUUCAUUUAAGAAUAGGAACAUUGUUUGUUCAUUUGGGUACUUUAUAACUUUAAGUAUAAUGAGGUUUCUUUAAAAAAUUGUAACAAUUUUGGUAUAAUUGUAUAAUAAC